GGGUUGUGAGGUUAAGCGACUAAGCGUACACGGUGGAUGCCCUGGCAGUCAGAGGCGAUGAAGGGCGUGCUAAUCUGCGAUAAGCGCCGGUAAGGUGAUAUGAACCGUUAUAACCGGCGAUACCCGAAUGGGGAAACCCAGUGUGACUCGUCACACUAUCAUUAACUGAAUCCAUAGGUUAAUGAGGCGAACCGGGGGAACUGAAACAUCUAAGUACCCCGAGGAAAAGAAAUCAACCGAGAUUCCCCCAGUAGCGGCGAGCGAACGGGGAGGAGCCCAGAGCCUGAAUCAGCAUGUGUGUUAGUGGAAGCGUCUGGAAAGGCGCGCGAUACAGGGUGACAGCCCCGUACACAAAAGCGCAUGUGCUGUGAGCUCGAUGAGUAGGGCGGGACACGUGAUAUCCUGUCUGAAUAUGGGGGGACCAUCCUCCAAGGCUAAAUACUCCUGACUGACCGAUAGUGAACCAGUACCGUGAGGGAAAGGCGAAAAGAACCCCGGCGAGGGGAGUGAAAAAGAACCUGAAACCGUGUACGUACAAGCAGUGGGAGCACCCUUUUGGGUGUGACUGCGUACCUUUUGUAUAAUGGGUCAGCGACUUAUAUUCUGUAGCAAGGUUAACCGAAUAGGGGAGCCGGAGGGAAACCGAGUCUUAACCGGGCGUUAAGUUGCAGGGUAUAGACCCGAAACCCGGUGAUCUAGCCAUGGGCAGGUUGAAGGUUGGGUAACACUAACUGGAGGACCGAACCGACUAAUGUUGAAAAAUUAGCGGAUGACCUGUGGCUGGGGGUGAAAGGCCAAUCAAACCGGGAGAUAGCUGGUUCUCCCCGAAAGCUAUUUAGGUAGCGCCUCGUGAAUUCAUCUCCGGGGGUAGAGCACUGUUUCGGCUAGGGGGCCAUCCCGGCUUACCAACCCGAUGCAAACUGCGAAUACCGGAGAAUGUUAUCACGGGAGACACACGGCGGGUGCUAACGUCCGUCGUGAAGAGGGAAACAACCCAGACCGCCAGCUAAGGUCCCAAAGUCAUAGUUAAGUGGGAAACGAUGUGGGAAGGCCCAGACAGCCAGGAUGUUGGCUUAGAAGCAGCCAUCAUUUAAAGAAAGCGUAAUAGCUCACUGGUCGAGUCGGCCUGCGCGGAAGAUGUAACGGGGCUAAACUAUGCACCGAAGCUGCGGCAGCGACACUGUGUGUUGUUGGGUAGGGGAGCGUUCUGUAAGCCUGUGAAGGUGUGUCGUGAGGCAUGCUGGAGGUAUCAGAAGUGCGAAUGCUGACAUAAGUAACGAUAAAGCGGGUGAAAAGCCCGCUCGCCGGAAGACCAAGGGUUCCUGUCCAACGUUAAUCGGGGCAGGGUGAGUCGACCCCUAAGGCGAGGCCGAAAGGCGUAGUCGAUGGGAAACGGGUUAAUAUUCCCGUACUUGGUGUUACUGCGAAGGGGGGACGGAGAAGGCUAUGUUGGCCGGGCGACGGUUGUCCCGGUUUAAGCGUGUAGGUGUGUGUUCCAGGUAAAUCCGGUUCACUUUAACACUGAGGCGUGAUGACGAGGCACUACGGUGCUGAAGCAACAAAUGCCCUGCUUCCAGGAAAAGCCUCUAAGCAUCAGGUAACAUCAAAUCGUACCCCAAACCGACACAGGUGGUCAGGUAGAGAAUACCAAGGCGCUUGAGAGAACUCGGGUGAAGGAACUAGGCAAAAUGGUGCCGUAACUUCGGGAGAAGGCACGCUGACACGUAGGUGAAGUGAUUUACUCAUGGAGCUGAAGUCAGUCGAAGAUACCAGCUGGCUGCAACUGUUUAUUAAAAACACAGCACUGUGCAAACACGAAAGUGGACGUAUACGGUGUGACGCCUGCCCGGUGCCGGAAGGUUAAUUGAUGGGGUCAGCGCAAGCGAAGCUCCUGAUCGAAGCCCCGGUAAACGGCGGCCGUAACUAUAACGGUCCUAAGGUAGCGAAAUUCCUUGUCGGGUAAGUUCCGACCUGCACGAAUGGCGUAAUGAUGGCCAGGCUGUCUCCACCCGAGACUCAGUGAAAUUGAACUCGCUGUGAAGAUGCAGUGUACCCGCGGCAAGACGGAAAGACCCCGUGAACCUUUACUAUAGCUUGACACUGAACAUUGAGCCUUGAUGUGUAGGAUAGGUGGGAGGCUUUGAAGUGUGGACGCCAGUCUGCAUGGAGCCGACCUUGAAAUACCACCCUUUAAUGUUUGAUGUUCUAACGUGGACCCGUGAUCCGGGUUGCGGACAGUGUCUGGUGGGUAGUUUGACUGGGGCGGUCUCCUCCUAAAGAGUAACGGAGGAGCACGAAGGUUGGCUAAUCCUGGUCGGACAUCAGGAGGUUAGUGCAAUGGCAUAAGCCAGCUUGACUGCGAGCGUGACGGCGCGAGCAGGUGCGAAAGCAGGUCAUAGUGAUCCGGUGGUUCUGAAUGGAAGGGCCAUCGCUCAACGGAUAAAAGGUACUCCGGGGAUAACAGGCUGAUACCGCCCAAGAGUUCAUAUCGACGGCGGUGUUUGGCACCUCGAUGUCGGCUCAUCACAUCCUGGGGCUGAAGUAGGUCCCAAGGGUAUGGCUGUUCGCCAUUUAAAGUGGUACGCGAGCUGGGUUUAGAACGUCGUGAGACAGUUCGGUCCCUAUCUGCCGUGGGCGCUGGAGAACUGAGGGGGGCUGCUCCUAGUACGAGAGGACCGGAGUGGACGCAUCACUGGUGUUCGGGUUGUCAUGCCAAUGGCACUGCCCGGUAGCUAAAUGCGGAAGAGAUAAGUGCUGAAAGCAUCUAAGCACGAAACUUGCCCCGAGAUGAGUUCUCCCUGAGACUUAGAGUCUCCUGAAGGAACGUUGAAGACGACGACGUUGAUAGGCCGGGUGUGUAAGCGCAGCGAUGCGUUGAGCUAACCGGUACUAAUGAACCGUGAGGCUUAACCUUACAACGCCGAAG
rnacentral:rRNA from 1 species